rnacentral:rRNA from 1 species
UUAAGCGACUAAGCGUACACGGUGGAUGCCCUGGCAGUCAGAGGCGAUGAAGGACGUGCUAAUCUGCGAAAAGCGUCGGUAAGGUGAUAUGAACCGUUAUAACCGGCGAUGUCCGAAUGGGGAAACCCAGUGCAAUUCGUUGCACUAUCGUUAACUGAAUACAUAGGUUAACGAGGCGAACCGGGGGAACUGAAACAUCUAAGUACCCCGAGGAAAAGAAAUCAACCGAGAUUCCCCCAGUAGCGGCGAGCGAACGGGGAGCAGCCCAGAGUCUGAAUCAGCUUGUGUGUUAGUGGAACGGUCUGGAAAGUCCGACGGUACAGGGUGAUAGUCCCGUACACCAAAAUGCACAGGUUGUGAACUCGAAGAGUAGGGCGGGACACGUGGUAUCCUGUCUGAAUAUGGGGGGACCAUCCUCCAAGGCUAAAUACUCCUGACUGACCGAUAGUGAACCAGUACCGUGAGGGAAAGGCGAAAAGAACCCCGGCGAGGGGAGUGAAAAAGAACCUGAAACCGUGUACGUACAAGCAGUGGGAGCACCUUCGGGUGUGACUGCGUACCUUUGUAUAAUGGGUCAGCGACUUAUAUUCUGUAGCAAGGUUAACCGUAUAGGGGAGCCGCAGGGAAACCGAGUCUUAACUGGGCGUUAAGUUGCAGGGUAUAGACCCGAAACCCGGUGAUCUAGCCAUGGGCAGGUUGAAGGUUGGGUAACACUAACUGGAGGACCGAACCGACUAAUGUUGAAAAAUUAGCGGAUGACUUGUGGCUGGGGGUGAAAGGCCAAUCAAACCGGGAGAUAGCUGGUUCUCCCCGAAAGCUAUUUAGGUAGCGCCUCGUGAACUCAUCUUCGGGGGUAGAGCACUGUUUCGGCUAGGGGGUCAUCCCGACUUACCAACCCGAUGCAAACUACGAAUACCGAAGAAUGUUAUCACGGGAGACACACGGCGGGUGCUAACGUCCGUCGUGAAGAGGGAAACAACCCAGACCGCCAGCUAAGGUCCCAAAGUCAUGGUUAAGUGGGAAACGAUGUGGGAAGGCACAGACAGCCAGGAUGUUGGCUUAGAAGCAGCCAUCAUUUAAAGAAAGCGUAAUAGCUCACUGGUCGAGUCGGCCUGCGCGGAAGAUGUAACGGGCUAAACCAUGCACCGAAGCUGCGGCAGCGACACUAUGUGUUGUUGGGUAGGGAGCGUUCUGUAAGCCUGCGAAGGUGUGCUGUGAGGCAUGCUGGAGGUAUCAGAAGUGCGAAUGCUGACAUAAGUAACGAUAAAGCGGGUGAAAAGCCCGCUCGCCGGAAGACCAAGGGUUCCUGUCCAACGUUAAUCGGGGCAGGGUGAGUCGACCCCUAAGGCGAGGCCGAAAGGCGUAGUCGAUGGGAAACAGGUUAAUAUUCCUGUACUUGGUGUUACUGCGAAGGGGGGACGGAGAAGGCUAUGUUAGCCGGGCGACGGUUGUCCCGGUUUAAGCAUGUAGGCUGAUUGUCCAGGCAAAUCCGGAUAAUCAAGGCUGAGGUGUGAUGACGAGGCACUACGGUGCUGAAGUAACAAAUGCCCUGCUUCCAGGAAAAGCCUCUAAGCAUCAGGUAACAUUAAAUCGUACCCCAAACCGACACAGGUGGUCAGGUAGAGAAUACCAAGGCGCUUGAGAGAACUCGGGUGAAGGAACUAGGCAAAAUGGUGCCGUAACUUCGGGAGAAGGCACGCUGGUGUGUAGGUGAAGUCCCUGCGGAUGGAGCUGAGACCAGUCGAAGAUACCAGCUGGCUGCAACUGUUUAUUAAAAACACAGCACUGUGCAAACACGAAAGUGGACGUAUACGGUGUGACGCCUGCCCGGUGCCGGAAGGUUAAUUGAUGGGGUUAUCCGUAAGGAGAAGCUCUUGAUCGAAGCCCGGUAAACGGCGGCCGUAACUAUAACGGUCCUAAGGUAGCGAAAUUCCUUGUCGGGUAAGUUCCGACCUGCACGAAUGGCGUAAUGAUGGCGCUGUCUCCACCCGAGACUCAGUGAAAUUGAACUCGCUGUGAAGAUGCAGUGUACCCGCGGCAAGACGGAAAGACCCCGUGAACCUUUACUAUAGCUUGACACUGAACAUUGAGCCUUGAUGUGUAGGAUAGGUGGGAGGCUUUGAAGCGUGGACGCCAGUCUGCGUGGAGCCAACCUUGAAAUACCACCCUUUAAUGUUUGAUGUUCUAACGUUGGCCCCUGACCGGGGUUGCGGACAGUGUCUGGUGGGUAGUUUGACUGGGGCGGUCUCCUCCCAAAGCGUAACGGAGGAGCACGAAGGUUAGCUAAUCCUGGUCGGACAUCAGGAGGUUAGUGCAAUGGCAUAAGCUAGCUUGACUGCGAGCGUGACGGCGCGAGCAGGUGCGAAAGCAGGUCAUAGUGAUCCGGUGGUUCUGAAUGGAAGGGCCAUCGCUCAACGGAUAAAAGGUACUCCGGGGAUAACAGGCUGAUACCGCCCAAGAGUUCAUAUCGACGGCGGUGUUUGGCACCUCGAUGUCGGCUCAUCACAUCCUGGGGCUGAAGUAGGUCCCAAGGGUAUGGCUGUUCGCCAUUUAAAGUGGUACGCGAGCUGGGUUUAGAACGUCGUGAGACAGUUCGGUCCCUAUCUGCCGUGGGCGCUGGAGAAUUGAGGGGGGCUGCUCCUAGUACGAGAGGACCGGAGUGGACGCAUCACUGGUGUUCGGGUUGUCAUGCCAAUGGCACUGCCCGGUAGCUAAAUGCGGAAGAGAUAAGUGCUGAAAGCAUCUAAGCACGAAACUUGCCCCGAGAUGAGUUCUCCCUGAGACUUUAAGUCUCCUGAAGGAACGUUGAAGACGACGACGUUGAUAGGCCGGGUGUGUAAGCGCAGCGAUGCGUUGAGCUAACCGGUACUAAUGAACCGUGAGGCUUAACCU